UCGGAAGGGAGCGGAAGAUUUCCGCAAACUCCCGCAGCCGUCUCUACCCCGCCGUCCCUCUCUCAUCCCCCACCGUCGCACCUCCCCUCUUCUGCCGCCACAGCACCUCCGUCCUCCCCGGUUCCCCCAACUGCGACGACACUAGGGAGGCCGAAUCUGGUUGGAGGAGGCCAGCCGGAGAGCAGGCGCUGGGCACGACACUCGAUGGAUCUGGCUUGCAUCAAGGUGCAAGAAUUUUGAAAUUGGUGGAGACAAUGCAAGAAGGGCAAGGGAACAUAUGUACCUUCGAAAAUAAAUGAUAUGCACACAUCGGACCAUGAAGAUUUGCACUGGGACCUACAUAAUUGGGAAUUUGAAGUGUUGACAAAGCCCAUCGAUGUGCACAUGAUUAGAGAAAGAGUUGUAAGUGGGCCAUGUUCUUAGUGGCACAGGUCAUCAACAAGAACUGAGAGUUCUACCCUCCUAGUUAACCAUCAGUAUGUGUGAUUGCCAUUAUUAAUAUGGGUCGAGUGAUGUAGUGUGUGACUGAAUAAGUUAAGUCCAAUGUUGUGAUGGAUUUCGAACAAGCUGUGAAUCUGUCAAUGAAUUUGAUGUAAAUGUGGAUAUGUUAAACUUGAUAUCUAUUUGAAGAGCUUCUGUUAUGAACAUGUAGUAAU